UACGUAGGUGGCAAGCGUUGUCCGGAUUUACUGGGCGUAAAGAGCGCGCAGGCGGCUGGGCAAGUCCGAUGUGAAAGCUUCCGGCUUAACUGGAAAAUUGCAUCGGAAACUGCUCGGCUUGAAGGUGGGAGAGGGUAGCGGAAUUCCCGGUGUAGUGGUGAAAUGCGCAGAUAUCAGGAGGAACACCAAUUGCGAAGGCAGCUCGCUGGGACGUGACUGACGCUGGAGACGCGAAAAGCGUGGGGAGCAAACAGG
rnacentral:rRNA from 1 species